UACAGAGGAGCCAAGCGUUGUCCGGAUUGACUGGGCGUAAAGCGCACGCAGGCGGCACCGCGCGUGGGGUGUGAAAUCUGGCCGCUUAACGGCCAGGCGCCAUCCCAUACGGCGGAGCUGGAGUGAUGCAGAGGUCGGUGGAAUUGCCGGUGUAGUGGUGAAAUGCGUAGAGAUCGGAAGGAACGUCAAUGGCGAAGGCAGCCACCUGGCAUCAUACUGACGCUGAGGCGCGAAAGCGUGGGGAGCGAACAGG
rnacentral:rRNA from 1 species